AUCCUACUCCCUCCGUCCGGAAAUACUUGUCCUAAAGAUGAAUACAAUGAAUGUAUCUAUAACUAAAAUAAGUUUAGAUACAUUCAUCUCUAGGACAAGNNUUUCCGGACGGAGGGAGUAUUAG
rfam:Hordeum vulgare subsp. vulgare, WGS project CAJW01000000 data, contig: morex_contig_1562966